rnacentral:rRNA from 1 species
UCCUACGGGUGGCUGCAGUGGGGAAUUUUGGACAAUGGGCGAAAGCCUGAUCCAGCCAUGCCGCGUGCAGGAUGAAGGCCUUCGGGUUGUAAACUGCUUUUGUACGGAACGAAAAGACUCUGGUUAAUACCUGGGGUCCAUGACGGUACCGUAAGAAUAAGCACCGGCUAACUACGUGCCAGCAGCCGCGGUAAUACGUAGGGUGCAAGCGUUAAUCGGAAUUACUGGGCGUAAAGCGUGCGCAGGCGGUUAUAUAAGACAGAUGUGAAGUCCCCGGGCUCAACCUGGGAAAUGCAUUUGUGACUGUAUAGCUAGAGUACGGCAGAGGGGGAUGGAAUUCCGCGUGUAGCAGUGAAAUGCGUAGAUAUGCGGAGGAACACCGAUGGCGAAGGCAAUCCCCUGGGCCUGUACUGACGCUCAUGCACGAAAGCGUGGGGAGCAAACAGGAUUAGAUACCACGGUAGUCAG